rnacentral:lncRNA from 1 species
GGCAGAGGGGAUGCUAUUGAGGAGAGAGAAAAAGGCUGGAAAUGGCCACAGUGGAGAGUGAGAUAGUGAAUUGAUUAGAGAGUAGAGUAAUUGCCUUGCUGCAGUGAGGGCCCAGUUGAGAUUAGAUAACAUGUAUUUGUAGUAAACCAAAUCAGCAUGAUUUUGUGAUUUCCUUCAGAUCUGUACAUGAAUAGAUGCAAAGGAGGCAUUUGGUGGAAUGGAGAGCUAUGAUCAGCAUAUUCAAGGAUUUAUUGGUGCAUGUUUAACAACAGGGAAUACUGGCUCCUGCUAGCCUGUUUCUGGUGACAAACUGAAAGGCAUACUCUUCUUAACUGCUAUCUUUGCACUUGAAGGUUCUACUAUUUGAAAAUAGAAUGAAGGACCGUGAGCACUUCCAAUCAUCCUUUAAUGUGGGGGAAUGUCCAUUAUUACUGUCUUCUACAUCAGCUUGGGGUUCCUGAGCUACCUAAGGUUUGAAGUAGCUAUCCAUGCUAGCAUAACCCAAUUGUGGCAAUGGUCCUAUAUCCUAAGUAUUGCAUCAAAGAAAAGGAAGAAGUUGGUUUGAAAUGAUGAAAGCAAAAAAAGAAAAAAGACUC